rnacentral:rRNA from 1 species
UACGUAGGGGGCAAGCGUUGUCCGGAAUCAUUGGGCGUAAAGCGCGCGUAGGCGGCCCGGUAAGUCCGCUGUAAAAGUCCAGGGCUCAACCCUGGGAUGCCGGUCGAUACUGCCGGACUAGAGUUCGGAAGAGGCGAGUGGAAUUCCCGGUGUAGCGGUGAAAUGCGCAGAUAUCGGGAGGAACACCAAUGGCGAAGGCAGCUCGCUGGGACGUUACUGACGCUGAGACGCGAAAGCGUGGGGAGCAAACAGG